rnacentral:rRNA from 1 species
GAUGAACGCUGGCGGCGUGCCUAAUACAUGCAAGUCGAGCGAACAGACGAGGAGCUUGCUCCUCUGACGUUAGCGGCGGACGGGUGAGUAACACGUGGAUAACCUACCUAUAAGACUGGGAUAACUUCGGGAAACCGUAGCUAAUACCGGAUAAUAUAUUGAACCGCAUGGUUCAAUAGUGAAAGACGGUUUUGCUGUCACUUAUAGAUGGAUCCGCGUCGCAUUAGCUAGUUGGUAAGGUAACGGCUUACCAAGGCAACGAUGCGUAGCCGACCUGAGAGGGUGAUCGGCCACACGGGAACUGAGACACGGUCCAGACUCCUACGGGAGGCAGCAGUAGGGAAUCUUCCGCAAUGGGCGAAAGCCUGACGGAGCAACGCCGCGUGAGUGAUGAAGGUCUUCGGAUCGUAAAACUCUGUUAUUAGGGAAGAACAAAUGUGUAAGUAACUGUGCACGUCUUGACGGUACCUAAUCAGAAAGCCACGGCUAACUACGUG